UCUGUCUCUGUAUGUCUCCUUCCAAAACUCCACCAUCUGUGUAAUAGCAUAUCUGUUUUACCACAUCACAUUACCACAUCACAUUACAUGUGUGUAAUCCUGUUUUGCCAUAUAUACUCAACAACCUGUUCACCAAUAAACAAGUUAAACUACAAAGAA